rnacentral:sRNA from 1 species
AGGUAUGACGGCACACACCUGUAAUCCUUGCUACUGGGAAGGGUGAGGUUGGUGAAUUGUUUAAGCUCAGGAGUUCUGAGCUGCAAUAGGCCAAGCCUAUUGGGUAUCCAUACGAAGUCUGGCACCAGUAUGGCAAGCCCCUGGGAGUGAGGAGGCCACCAGAUUCCUAAGAAGGGUUGAACUGGCCCAGAUUAGAAAUGGAGCAGGUUAAAAAUACUAUACGAGUCAGUAUCGUGAAUGGCCACAGCACUUGACGAAAAAGGGAGAUCCAGUCUCA